rnacentral:rRNA from 1 species
GACAGAGGGUGCAAACGUUGUUCGGAAUUACUGGGCGUAAAGCGCGUGUAGGCGGCUUGGCAAGUCGGGUGUGAAAGCCCUGGGCUCAACCUAGGAAGUGCACUCGAAACUGCUUCGCUUGAGUACCGGAGAGGAAAGCGGAAUUCUCGGUGUAGAGGUGAAAUUCGUAGAUAUCGAGAGGAACACCGGUGGCGAAGGCGGCUUUCUGGACGGUUACUGACGCUGAGACGCGAAAGCGUGGGGAGCAAACAGG